rnacentral:lncRNA from 1 species
AUGACCUUGACCUCAAUUUCAAGUUCACAAACCAAGGACCUUAAAUCAAAAGACCCUAGGUCUUUAAUAUGUUUGGUUUAUUAGUAAUAUCACUUUACGCGUAAUUCUAAAUGUAAGAUGGGCAAAAACUCCUAUUUAUUGUCUGCGCACCCUUUCAAUCAAAAUAUACAAGUAAGGACAUGUCGCAACUAACAAUUUAUGAAAAAUUAUUUGUCGAUAUGUCAUAAGGUAUUUGAAAAUAAAUGAAAAUAAGCCAAAAUCAAAAUUUAGAAUAUGACCUUGACCUUUGACCUUGACCUCAUUUUAUUAUUUUGGACCAAGGACCCCAAAUCUAAAGACCCUAUGUCUUUAUCACUUAUGGUUUACCAUUUAGAAAUGCAUAUCACUUAAUUUAAGGGAAAAGGGGGAAUAACUCUCAUAUGGAGUCUCCGUAAAGCUUCGGUCCAAAUGAAUAUCCUAAUCCUGAAGAUGUAACGAGCAAUUUGGUAAAAUAAAUUUGUCGUAAUCUUUAACGGUUGCGAAGGAGUAGUGGCCACAAGAAAAACAGUGUUUGGGGAGAUAACUCUUACAACGUAAAGUAUUUUGUUACACAGUUGUAAAUUUUUAAAGCGUAUAAACUAUACGAUACCAUAUUCCAAAUAUCUAAGCGACAUCUUUUGAAACAUCAAUAAUACGCAAGAAAAAAAAUUAGGCGGAAGAAAAAAAAAAAAAAAAAAAAGAAUAAUAAUCAGAACAAAUUCAAUA